AAGUCGUAACAAGGUUUCCGUAGGUGAACCUGCGGAAGGAUCAUUAACACGUAUCCAACGUUAAAACAACCCUGUGAACCUUCAAUCUUCUGGUAAAUCAUUGUCGACCAGAUUUUGAGUCAGGGACCUCUGCCGAUGAGAGUUCCGCUCGUAGCGAUGCAAGCGACCUGGCACCCCCAAGCAAUCAGAGUUCUGAAAGCGUCUUUGAUUGUGUAAGGGUGGCGCAAACACGAUCGUUGGAGGCCGACACGGCCGGCGACCGGGUCACCGGGCUCACGCCCCUUAAUAACCUUUGCAUGAAAACGGGCCUGCGCUUAAUUGUGCGGCCAUAAACCGAACAACUGUUAACAAUGGAUAUCUUGGUUCUC
rnacentral:misc_RNA from 1 species